UACGAAGGGGGCUAGCGUUGAUCGGAAUCACUGGGCGUAAAGCGCACGUAGGCGGAUUGCUAAGUCAGGGGUGAAAUCCUGGAGCUCAACUCCAGAACUGCCUUUGAUACUGGCGAUCUCGAGUCCGGGAGAGGUGAGUGGAACUGCGAGUGUAGAGGUGAAAUUCGUAGAUAUUCGCAAGAACACCAGUGGCGAAGGCGGCUCACUGGCCCGGUACUGACGCUGAGGUGCGAAAGCGUGGGGAGCAAACAGG
rnacentral:rRNA from 1 species